rnacentral:misc_RNA from 1 species
GUAGGUGAACCUGCGGAGGGAUCAUUACCGAGCGAGGGCCUCGCGCCCGACCUCCAACCCUUCGAAGUGACCAACUCUGUUGCCUUGGGGGCGACCCGGCCCCCGUGCCGGGGCCCCCAACGGACCACACAAACCCUGCGUUUUCGCGUCGGAGUUUAAAGGAAAUCAAUUAAAACUUUCAGCAACGGAUCUCUUGGUUCUAGCAUCGAUGAAGAACGCAGCAUCUGACUGACUUCAGGUUGCGGAAUCU